rnacentral:tRNA from 1 species
AAGACUCUAGUAAAACAGCAAUAACACUACUUUGUCAAGGUAGAGUUGUGGGUUAAAGCCCCACGUGUCUUA